AGAGUUUGAUCCUGGCUCAGGAUGAACGAUGGCGGUAUGCUUAACACAUGCAAGUUUGACGAACUUCUUCGGAAGUUAGUGGCGGACGGGUGAGUAACACGUGAGAAUCUGCCGAAAGGUUCGGGACAACCACGGGAAACGGUGGCUAAUACCGGAUAAGCCGAAAGGUGAAAGAUUAAUUGCCUUUUGAUGAGGUCGCGGCCGAUUAAUUAGUUGGUGGGGUAAGAGCCUACCAAGACGGCGAUCGGUAGCUGGUCUGAGAGGACGAUCAGCCACACUGGGACUGAGACACGGCCCAGACUCCUACGGGAGGCAGCAGUGGGGAAUUUUCCGCAAUGGGCGAAAGCCUGACGGAGCAAUACCGCGUGAGGGAGGAAGGCUCUUGGGUUGUAAACCUCUUUUCUCAGGGAAGAAUACUGACGGUACCUGAGGAAUAAGCAUCGGCUAACUCCGUGCCAGCAGCCGCGGUAAUACGGAGGAUGCAAGCGUUAUCCGGAAUGAUUGGGCGUAAAGCGUCCGCAGGUGGUUGUUCAAGUCUGCUGUCAAAGCAUCUGGCUUAACCAGAUAAAGGCAGUGGAAACUGAACGACUGGAGUGCGGUAGGGGCAGAGGGAAUUCCCAGUGUAGCGGUGAAAUGCGUAGAGAUUGGGAAGAA
rnacentral:rRNA from 1 species